rnacentral:rRNA from 1 species
AGCGAACGCUGGCGGCAGGCUUAACACAUGCCAGUCGAGCGGGCACCUUUCGGGGUGUCCGCGGCGGACGGGUGAGUAACGCGUGGGAACGUGCCCUCUGGUUCGGAAUAACUCAGGGAAACUUGAGCUAAUACCGGAUACGCCCUUUUGGGGAAAGGCUUGCUGCCGGAGGAUCGGCCCGCGUCUGAUUAGCUAGUUGGUGAGGUAACGGCUCACCAAGGCGACGAUCAGUAGCUGGUCUGAGAGGAUGAUCAGCCACACUGGGACUGAGACACGGCCCAGACUCCUACGGGAGGCAGCAGUGGGGAAUAUUGGACAAUGGGCGCAAGCCUGAUCCAGCCAUGCCGCGUGAGUGAUGAAGGCCUUAGGGUUGUAAAGCUCUUUUAUCCGGGACGAUAAUGACGGUACCGGAGGAAUAAGCCCCGGCUAACUUCGUG